rnacentral:rRNA from 1 species
UACGGAGGGUGCAAGCGUUAUCCGGAAUUACUGGGUUUAAAGGGUGCGUAGGCGGUUAAUUAAGUCAGAGGUGAAAGGUAAUUGCUUAACGAUUGAAUUGCCUUUGAUACUGGUUAACUUGAAAGGAGAUGAGGUUGGCGGAAUGUGAUAUGUAGCGGUGAAAUGCGUAGAGAUAUCAGAGAACACCGAUUGCGAAGGCAGCUGACUAAUCUUACUUUGACGAUGAGGCACGAAAGCGUGGGGAGCGAACAGG